rnacentral:rRNA from 1 species
CGGCGGACGGGUGAGUAAUGCCUAGGAAAUUGCCCUGAUGUGGGGGAUAACCAUUGGAAACGAUGGCUAAUACCGCAUGAUGCCUACGGGCCAAAGAGGGGGACCUUCGGGCCUCUCGCGUCAGGAUAUGCCUAGGUGGGAUUAGCUAGUUGGUGAGGUAAGGGCUCACCAAGGCGACGAUCCCUAGCUGGUCUGAGAGGAUGAUCAGCCACACUGGAACUGAGACACGGUCCAGACUCCUACGGGAGGCAG